rnacentral:misc_RNA from 1 species
GAAAUGCGAUAAGUAAUGUGAAUUGCAGAAUUCAGUGAAUCAUCGAACCUUUGAACGCGCCUUGCGCUCCUUGGUAUUCCUUGGAGCAUGCCUGUUUGAGUAUCAUGAAAUCUUCAAAGUAAAUCUUUUGUUAACUCAAUUGGUUUCUACUUUGGUAUUGGAGGUCUUUGCAGCUUCACACCUGCUCCUCUUUGUUCAUUAGCUGGAUCUCAGUGUUAUGCUUGGUUCCACUCGGCGUGAUAAGUUAUCUAUCGCUGAGGACACUGUAAAAGGUGGCCAAGGUAAAUGCAGAUGAACCGCUUCUAAUAGUCCAUUGACUUGGACAAUACUUUUAUGAUCUGAUCUCAAAUCAGGUAGGACUACCCGCUGAACUUAAGC